rnacentral:rRNA from 1 species
AGGAAAAACUUCUACAUCGAGACAAGCAGAUGUGUGCUAUGUGAUGAUGAGCCUAACGAACACUUGCUCCAUUUAUUCUUCGGUUGUGAUUUCAGUCAGUAUUUUUUGCUAACCAUUGGUUUGCAAUGGAACACAGAUUAUGAACUCAUAAAUAUGCUCAUGGAUGGAAAGAGGCAGAAUAAUGUCAAUUGUUUCAAGGAAUGCUUAAUUGUAGGUUGCUGGAGCCUAUGGAAACAUAGAAACAACAACAUCUUUGAUCACAAAGUAAAGAGCAUGGCUUUUUGUGUCUCAAGCUUUAAGGAACAUUUUGAUAUGAUCAUCAAAAAGGCAAAACCUAGCUUGAAAGAAGGGAUGUUGACAUGACUAGAUUACUUGUAG